rnacentral:rRNA from 1 species
GGCCUCGGAUCAGGUGGGGAUACCCGCUGAACUUAAGCAUAUCAAUAAGCGGAGGAAAAGAAACCAACAGGGAUUGCCUUAGUAACGGCGAGUGAAGCGGCAAAAGCUCAAAUUUGAAAUCUGGUCUUUAGACCCGAGUUGUAAUUUGUAGAGGAAUAUUCGGCAAUGUCAUUGGUAUAAGUUUCCUGGAACGGGACGUCUUGGAGGGUGAGAACCCCGUAUAUUACUGAAUGACAACGCUAUGUGAAUAUCCUUCGAAGAGUCGAGUUGUUUGGGAAUGCAGCUCAAAAUGGGUGGUAAAUUCCAUCUAAAGCUAAAUAUUGGCCAGAGACCGAUAGCGCACAAGUAGAGUGAUCGAAAGAUGAAAAGCACUUUGGAAAGAGAGUGAAACAGUACGUGAAAUUGUUGAAAGGGAAGCGC